rnacentral:tRNA from 1 species
GGAGGGUAUAGCUCAGUGGUAGAGCACAUGCCUAGCAUGCAUGAGGUCCUGGGUUCAAUCCCCAGUGCCUCCA